GAUGAACGCUGGCUGCGUGCCUAAUACAUGCAAGUCGAGCGAACAGACGAGGAGCUUGCUCCUCUGACGUUAGCGGCGGACGGGUGAGUAACACGUGGAUAACCUACCUAUAAGACUGGGAUAACUUCGGGAAACCGGAGCUAAUACCGGAUAAUAUAUUGAACCGCAUGGUUCAAUAGUGAAAGACGGUUUUGCUGUCACUUAUAGAUGGAUCCGCGCCGCAUUAGCUAGUUGGUAAGGUAACGGCUUACCAAGGCGACGAUGCGUAGCCGACCUGAGAGGGUGAUCGGCCACACUGGAACUGAGACACGGUCCAGACUCCUACGGGAGGCAGCAGUAGGGAAUCUUCCGCAAUGGGCGAAAGCCUGACGGAGCAACGCCGCGUGAGUGAUGAAGGUCUUCGGAUCGUAAAACUCUGUUAUUAGGGAAGAACAAAUGUGUAAGUAACUAUGCACGUCUUGACGGUACCUAAUCAGAAAGCCACGGCUAACUACGUG
rnacentral:rRNA from 1 species